rnacentral:rRNA from 1 species
GCAAGUCGAACGGGGUGAGCCUUCGGGCGAGCCUAGUGGCAGACGGCUGAGUAACACGUAAGUAACCUGCCCAAAAGAGGGGGAUAACUCAAGGAAACUUGAGCUAAUACCGCGUAACACCGCAGCUGGAAUGCGGCGGUUAAAAGGUAGCGGGAGACCGCCGGCCGCUUUUGGAUGGGCUUGCGUCCUAUCAGGUAGUUGGCGAGGUAACGGCUCGCCAAGCCGAAGACGGGUAGCUGGUGUGUGAGCACGAACAGCCAGAGGGGGACUGAGACACGGCCCUCACUCCUACGGGAGGCAGCAGCAAGGAAUCUUCCACAAUGGGCGAAAGCCUGAUGGAGCGACGUCGCGUGAAGGAUGAAGGCCUUCGGGUUGUAAACUUCUUUUAUUGGGAAAGAGUAAGGACGGCACCCAAUGAAUAAGUCACGGCUAACUACGUGCCAGCAGCCGCGGUAAGACGUAGGUGGCGAGCGUUGUCCGGAAUUACUGGGCGUAAAGGGUCCGUAGGCAGUUUGGUAAGUUUCGUGUGAAAACUGCGAGCUCAACUCGGAGAGGUCACGAAAUACUGCCAGACUAGAGAAUGGUAGAGGCAAGUGGAAUUCCCGGUGUAGCGGUGGAAUGCAUAGAUAUCGGGAGGAACACCAGUGGCGAAAGCGGCUUGCUGGACCAUUUCUGACGCUGAGGGACGAAAGCGUGGGUAGCGAAUCGGAUUAGAUACCCGAGUAGUCCAUGCCCUAAACGAUGGAUGCUAGAUCUUGGGAGUUCAUAGCUCAUAGGGUCGCAGCUAACGCAUUAAGCAUCCCGCCUGGGGAGUACGGUCGCAAGAUUAAAACUCAAAGGAAUUGACGGGGGCCCGCACAAGCAACGGAGCGUGUGGUUUUA